rnacentral:rRNA from 1 species
UACAUGGGGUGCAAACGUUGCUCGGAUUUACUGGGCGUAAAGGGCGCGCAGGCGGCUGCUCAAGUCAGGCGUGAAAGGCCUGGGCUCAACCCGGGAAUUGCGCUUGAGACUGGGCUGGCUUGAGUGCGGGAGAGGAUGGUGGAAUUCCCAGUGUAGAGGUGAAAUUCGUAGAUAUUGGGAAGAACACCGGUGGCGAAGGCGGCCAUCUGGAUCGCAACUGACGCUGAGGCGCGAAAGCGUGGGGAGCAAACAGG